AAACCAUGUUGUGGGUAGUUCCGCAAGAGGUCUUUGAAUCACUCCCAUGUCUCAAAUAAGGAUUCAAGCUCCAUAUGAACAAACAAUGGUAUUUCAUUAUGAAGCUU